UACGUAGGGUCCGAGCGUUGUCCGGAAUUACUGGGCGUAAAGAGCUCGUAGGUGGUUUGUCGCGUUGUCCGUGAAAACUCACAGCUCAACUGUGGGCGUGCGGGCGAUACGGGCAGACUGGAGUACUGCAGGGGAGACUGGAAUUCCUGGUGUAGCGGUGGAAUGCGCAGAUAUCAGGAGGAACACCGGUGGCGAAGGCGGGUCUCUGGGCCGAUACUGACGCUGGAGGAGCGAAAGCCGUGGGGAGCGAACAGG
rnacentral:rRNA from 1 species